ensembl:lncRNA
UUGUGAGAACUGUUGCAAAACUAAGGAAGUCAAAACAGGAAAAUUCUCGCCUGACAGGUUCAUCUCAAUGCUUCUCUUAGCACUGAAAUGUUAUGUUCGUUUCUAGGAUUUGAAAAAGGUUUGAAAACAUUUUAAACACUGAACGUAAUCUGCUUUAAAUGUACUGUGUUCAGUGAACAGGGAAGUUUUGUUGUAAACCAUCUUCACUCCAUGAUCUCUGAAUAAUUCGCAUCACGCUUUAUUGAGUUUUCCUCUGAUGUGAUUUGGGAAGCAUGCAGGAUACCAUGGGGUGUAAUGCAGCAUUCCUGCUCUUCUGGGGAAUCUUGAAUUCUUACUUUCCUCUAGAUUGCUGCCAAACUGCCCCUACUUUUACUGCCAGUUAUUCUCCAGACCUUUACGUCUCUGUUUCUACAACAACUCCAGACUCAAGUUCAUCUAUCUUCACCACAACAUCAGAACCAAAUCCCCUCACAAACACAAGUACAACCAAGUCUUAG